rnacentral:rRNA from 1 species
GAUGAACGCUGGCGGCGUGCUUAACACAUGCAAGUCGAACGAUGAAGCCCAGCUUGCUGGGUGGAUUAGUGGCGAACGGGUGAGUAACACGUCAGUAACCUGCCCUUAACUCUGGGAUAAGCCUGGGAAACUGGGUCUAAUACCGGAUAGGAGCGUCCACCGCAUGGUGGGUGUUGGAAAGAUUUAUCGGUUUUGGAUGGACUCGCGGCCUAUCAGCUUGUUGGUGAGGUAAUGGCUCACCAAGGCGACGACGGGUAGCCGGCCUGAGAGGGUGACCGGCCACACUGGGACUGAGACACGGCCCAGACUCCUACGGGAGGCAGCAGUGGGGAAUAUUGCACAAUGGGCGCAAGCCUGAUGCAGCGACGCCGCGUGAGGGAUGACGGCCUUCGGGUUGUAAACCUCUUUCAGUAGGGAAGAAGCGAAAGUGACGGUACCUGCAGAAGAAGCACCGGCUAACUACGUG